AGAGAAAAGCGUCAAUCAUACGCAGCACUCGAUUACCAAAGCCGUGUCCUCUGCAUAUUCUGUCCCUUUUCUGCCGCUGCUGCUCGUUUUCUCUUCCGCGUCGCUUCUCCGCCUUUUCUAGAUCUCCGGAUUCGCGCCUGAUAUGUCUUCCUCCAAGCCCGCCGGAUCCAUCCAUGACUUCACCGUCAAGGUUGGUGGCCCACGGGGUUUAUGUUUUCUAUCGUCAUCGUGUGCUCCGUUUCCUUGUCUUUUUAGUGUGCUGAUGGUGGCUCCUUUCGAAGAUCGAUUUUUUAGACUGAGUCGGCUGUUCGAUUUGGAGGAUUGCUCGAAAGAUGGGAUUUUGACAAGGGAUUGGUUGUUUUUAUCGUUGGUUUUGUUUUAAUUUGUCAUCCGGAGUCGUCAAGGAGGUUUAUUUUUGAAGAUCCACUGCCCUGUAGUUUUGAAUUUCUUGUGAUUAGGUCUUUCUUUUUUAUUGUUCUUGGUUCUAGGGAUGGAUCGAGUUUACCGUCGUGGUCGAUUUUUUGGAACAUGUUUAAUCUUUUGUGAUUAUAUGCAACUUGAUGUAGUUUUUUAUGGUCAUUGGUUUCUUGUUCGGAACGAAUUCUUGAAGCUAAUGAAGUGUAUUUUCCUUCAUCGUUCUCGACUUAAUCCUUUGUGUUCUGUCAAGUCAAAUGAGAUGGACAGAUCAAUUAGCCCCCAGAUUGGACAACUAUCAUCAUAUUGUAUCUGCUGAUGGUGCUGAUGCCUCGAGUGUUAGGAGUUUUUGUUGUUUGUGGGGGAAGAAAACUUUUUCUCUGCGAAUGUGGGUGGUGAUGAUUGAUGAUGAUGAUCAUCAUGUGUUGUAUGGCUUCCGAUGCAGGAUGCCAGGGGAAAUGAUGUGGAUCUUAGCAUUUACAAAGGGAAGGUCUUGCUGAUUGUCAAUGUUGCAUCUCAAUGGAAACAAAAAACUGCUAAAGGGCAUGAAGAAUGUAGAGUUAAGGUGCAGCUUACCUUGAUAUAUUCAGUGCUUGUGUGAAUUGAGGGUAGUGAUGAACCAAGGAAGUUUGUAGUUCUCCAUCUAUCCACACCUGCAGAUUGUGCUGAAGAGUGUACCAGCCUUGAUCACCCAUCCCAAGGCAUUGUAGCCUGAGCUCCGGGCAGUUACUGAUGCUCAAAAAUUGAAGUUUGCUUGGAAAACCAUCAUUUGGCAAGCACAAGAGGCCAGGACAGUCUGAGAUCUCGAGACGUGCAAGUGAGGCCAUGUUUAUGAGGCUAACUGGUAAAUACAUGAGAUGCCUGCAGUUUUCGAUCGCCAAGUCCUCUAACUUUAUUAGUUUUGGCAGUCCUUUGGGAAGAGUAUGGAGCUCAGGGCAGUGCUUGAUGGCCAAGUACAACAGGCCGGUCGGGAGCCAAUCAUCCGGUAAUGAUAGCAAUUGAUUGCAGUGACUAAUUUCCAAUCGACGGAUCAAAGCAUGGGAACCUUGUAUAUUGAAAGGAAAGGUUCUCCAUUGCAGUCCACUGAGAGUCAGGGAGGGAAGCAAGGAAACAACAGACCAGGAACUCCAAAUCCAGUCAUCAGUAGUCUUCACUUCUAGUUAUUUGAGUGCUGGGAAGUCAGAUAGGCCAGCAAAACUUUGGGAUGCUUCUAUCACCAACUUCGUCAAAGCAGGAAAUUUGUGCUUUAAUUGGUCAAGAGCAAAGCAGUCCUUGAUAACAAGCUCACGAAGAGAAGGCAAAACACAGUCAUCAGCACCACACCAUUCUUCCAGUCCUGACAUUGUUUCUAGAUGUAGCUUCUCCAAUGAUGGAAACCUUUGCUUGUUACUGCCACAAAAUGAGCAGUCAAGGUGCUGCACCCGAUGCAUUUCUUUUAUGUAUAGAUAUUUAAGCUUCGGUAAUUGGCCAAGUGGUGGGAGGUUAAAACAAUUAUCACAGUUGCAGAUCCAUAAGGUCACUAGAUUGGAGAAGGAAGGAUCUCCUACCCAAGUUGGAAAUGAUGUUCCUCCAUACCCAACUAUUCCAAGCUCUUUCAGCUUCUGCUGCCUUGAAAACAAGAUCAAGUCUUGCAAUGAGAAGAUCACCAUGGAGAUUGUUCAAGUCCCUCAACUGAGAUAAACCACAGUGAAGCCUUGUGCUCACAAUAUAUCUUGAAAGUGUUUGAAGAUCAGUUAACAAUCCAAUAUCUGGUGGCAUAAAUCUCAAAUUGCCUCUUGUGUGCGUUCCUUCCGGCGCCAAUGUCAUUCUUGAAUUACCAUCAAGAUGUAGGUCAAGAUUCCGUAACUUGCGCAGAUUCCUCGUAUCCUUUGGAAGCUCUUCAAGAAAAUAGCAAUUCCUAAGUACCAAGGUUUGCAGGUUGUAGAGGUGAGACACAGAUUCAGGCAGUCUAAUGAUAUUUGUGUUCUGUAGUUGGAGACAGCGCAGAUGCUUCAGAUCCCCGAUUGAUUCGGGCAGCAGAGCCAAUCCCAAAUUGCUUAGAUUUAGAGUGCGUAGGCUCUGAAGUCUAUCGGCAAGAUCAUCAGGAACGGUCAUCAGGUAACUCGUAGAGCCGCCAACCAGGAUUAGUGUAUGCAAGCCUUUGCAUUUAUAAACUUCCUCAGAUAAAUUGUUUUCUCCCCUUAACCGAGGUGAUAUGUUUGAGAUAUUUUGAUCAAAUAGGUCAUAUUACAGUGAUAAAUGGCGAAUGCUGGCAGAGCCAAACCAGCCUUUGCCGGGCUCCACGACAGAACAUUCCUCGGCUGCUAUAUGUCGGGCAAAUUCAUGAACAACAUCAUGCAUGAUGUACCUAGAGGUGUUUGUUGAAUUCUGGACUUGAAGAGGAGAUGGUAGCUGAGCAAUCACACACUGUGAAGGUGUGGUUAGAACUGCUUUGCCAUUAAGAUGAAGUUUUGGAAGCUAACAUAGUUGACUCAGUCUGCCCUGGAAUCUUUAUCAUAUAAGGGAGUGCUCAGAGUGUCGGAAUGAUGGGCUAACUAGUUUGUCAAUUUUAUUAAGCUCAAACUAUUGAUUAAAAUACUUCAAUUAAAAUUUUAACAGUACACCCAUCAAAUCUUUGUAAGUCUAUCUUAGUGUUGCCCACUUCUAACAUGGGACUAAUCGGGAUGUUUCAAGCUCCCUCACUUAAGGCUAAGAUGAUCAUCGUUUUGUUCC